rnacentral:rRNA from 1 species
CCUACGGGAGGCAGCAGUGGGGAAUAUUGGACAAUGGGGGGAACCCUGAUCCAGCCAUGCCGCGUGUGUGAAGAAGGCCCUCGGGGUGUAAAGCACUUUCAGUGAGGAAGAACGCCUGGUGGUUAAUACCCAUCAGGAAAGACAUCACUCACAGAAGAAGCACCGGCUAACUCCGUGCCAGCAGCCGCGGUAAUACGGAGGGUGCGAGCGUUAAUCGGAAUUACUGGGCGUAAAGCGCGCGUAGGUGGCUUGAUAAGCCGGUUGUGAAAGCCCCGGGCUCAACCUGGGAACGGCAUCCGGAACUGUCAAGCUAGAGUGCAGGAGAGGAAGGUAGAAUUCCCGGUGUAGCGGUGAAAUGCGUAGAGCUCGGGAGGAAUACCAGUGGCGAAGGCGGCCUUCUGGACUGACACUGACACUGAGGUGCGAAAGCGUGGGUAGCAAACAGGAUUAGAUACCCUUGUAGUC